rnacentral:lncRNA from 1 species
AGCUAACACAGUGUCAGGGACACAGGAAGUGCUUGACGAAUGGGGGCCAUUUCCAGAUUCCAACUGCCAGAAAACCAGAUGACUUCAGCAUCAGUUCUGAGCUGUAAGAUUUCGGUGAAUCCAACCGCUAGAGUGAGAAAGGGGAGAAAAUCCAGCAGCCCUACUUGGAACAGAUACUGUAGCAUCAGCAGUGGAAUAUUAGUGGCAGAGAGCACCUGGCCAAGUUGAAAAAGUGAAGCCUGGAAAUAGGUACUAUUAAAAGGGGCUUUUCAGUGUAAUAAAUUAUUCUCGCAGAGUCUGACUCAGGGGUGUCCUGCAUCAGAACAUUAUCAUAAUGACUUGCUUUGGAACCUCCAGAAGGAAUGCAGCCCCACUGGCCCUUUUUGUGCUUCUGAUGGCCAGAGCUGUAAGAUAAUACAUCUGUGCUGUUUUCAAGGCACUGAUUUUGUGGCAGUUGUUUUUAACAGUAAUAGGAAAGUAAUACUGAGGCUGAAUUCUUUUAAAAAGUGUAAAGUGAUCCUGACAUGAGAAAAAUUGAAAAGUACUGUCCUGGAUCAUGUUGCUCCAUGAUACAGGCCUAGGGGCGUGACGUGGAAAUGGGAAGAAAGGCAGAGCUGGGCGCCAUCAUGUUGCCAUAGUGUCUAGGACCUUGAAUUCCAUUUUUCAAAGGAGAGUGGAUGUGAUUAUUUGUCUGGGCUUUUUUUUGGGUGUGUGUGUGUGUGUCUGUUUGUUUGAAGCAGUGCAGCCCUUUCUUCGCACUGGGAGGAAGCCACAUGCACAGAUUUCCACACACCUGACCUGCUUUGGUUCAAGAAAGAACCAAGGGGCCUCACCUCCCUGCAGCCACUCAAGAGGCCCCUUCGAGUGUGGUGUGCAGAGCCCUGCUUUAGGCCAAGAGCUUAGGAGCUUAAGUUAUGUUAGGAUUUUAGUACCUGCUGUUCACCCCAGUGGGAGGAGGAUUCAAGGGGGAUAAAGCAUGGAGAUCUUCCGGAAGACACGUAAGGGCCUGCAGUAGAGAAAGGAAGUUUGGGGUGGAAACGAGUUGAAUGAAUUGAGAAGUUUCAGACUGAAAACCGGCCAGAGUUGUUGAUGGAAUGUUGUGGGUGUGGUGACUCUCAGUGACCCCACGGAUUCCCAUGUUGGCUGUCUCGUGGCGACAGGGACAGUGGCUCACGUUUACUGAGAUGCACCAUCUGUGUCCACCCUGUAGGCAUGACCAUGUUGAAUCUGCAUGGUGACUCCAUGAGUCUGUACUCUUCCCCGUCUCCCCAUUUUAAAGAUGAGAAAACAGCCAGGACCUCAGGAAAUGGCUAGUAAUAGCUGAACUGGAUUCCAAACCCGUCAUGCUCCAGAACCUGCUCACAGCCAUUUCUUGCACUGUUGGUAACUGUCCACACAAAUAGAUACUGACUGUCCUUCCCCAUUCAGGGUCAUAGAUGGUUCUGAGAAUAUAAUGAAAGCUAUGCAUACAUCCUUGCACUCGUAAUUAUAUGCGAAAGGUUAAACAUGGGUUUUGCUUACAGGUUCAUGCAGUCUGGAAGUUCAGCCAAGGAUCCCCAGAAGUCCGUUAUUCCCAGAGUAAGAACUGGAGCUUUAGGAUCAAUUUUAGUAUUGCUGUUUAAUAGAUGAGCACACAGGCUUGUCAAGGGUUAAUGGAUGUGUCCCACGUCACUCAGCUAGUAAGUGUCAGAGCCUCACCUUAUCCAAGGCCUCGUCUCCUUUCCUCUCCUCCAAACUGCUUUUCCCUUAAGUAAUGCUUCCAGGAGCAUGUAGGAGGCCAGAAGUAUAAUCUUUGAGCUACCAUUAAUUUGCUCAUGACUUUGGACCAAGCAGUAACCUUGUAGUUUCUUAUAUAUAAAAUGGGAACAGUGAUGACCAGUGCUACUUAAAUUAGGGGAAAGUUAUAAAAGUUGAGAAAUUUUAAAGGACUUUUGGCCACACCUGUGGCAUAUGGAAGUUCUCCUGCAACAGAAUGAAACUGAGCCAAAUUCGAGACCUCUGUUACAGCCGUGGCAAUGCCAGGACCUUAUUUGACCCAUCUGGGCCAGGAAUGGAACUAGCAAUACCACAGAGACAAGCCAGAUCAUUAAUCUACCGUGCCACUGUGGGACCUCCCAACGUAAGGGAAUUUCAUUAUUGUGCAAGUUCAAAGUCUGUCCUGCAGAUAAAUUCUACAUUUUUCAUGCGUUACUGCAAUAAAUUCAGAAAAUUAUCUGCAAACUGCAGUUAAGUUUGAAAUAUUUUGAGGUAAUUUUUUUUCUUUCUUUUUCUUGUCUUGACUGCCUUGCUGCAGUUGUACAGUCUAAGUUAUUACAUCUGAUUGGGCAAGCUUGAAGUAUUGAGAGGUGAUUAUGGGUUACAGUUAUCAGUAAUAAUUACCUUUGUUACAGGGCGUAACAUAAAGUCCAGAUUGAUCCAUUCACUCACUCAUUUAUUUAGUAAAUAUUCUUUGUGCAUCUGCAAUAUGCCAGGCAUUGUGCUAAGUGCUAGAGCUGCCUUGGUGACUAAGAAUGGUCCAUGUCCACCCUUAUGGGGCUACCAUUCAUUGUGAAGAGAAAACACAGGCAUCUUGUAUCUCAUUCUUGCUUGCUUUUCACUCCCCCUAACUGACUUUGAUCAAGCUUCUUCCAUUGCUGUGCUCAGGGCUAUCACAGGGCUUUGACACCUGCUAUUCCCUCUGCCUUGAACGUGCUCUUGGCUCUGGGGCCGCAAGACCAACCUCAGUCUGAGUGAAUUUGCUAGAAGAAUUCACAGGACUCAGAAAAGCUUAUGACCAUGAAAAGAAACAGAUUAAAAUCAGAAGGGGGAAAGGACUCGCGGGGCCGGGUCCCAGGUGUCCUUGCCCUGCAGAGUAACACAGACCCCCUUCCUUCACCAGGGAGAAUAUGUGACAGCACGAGUGAAGUGGUGCCACCCAGGGGCCGUCACCCAUGUGGGCAUUCAGGGUCUUUCACUGAGGGGCAGUGUGUCGGCCUGCAACACCUCGUGACCGACCUCAGGCACUCAGACUCUGUCCUCCCAGAGCAAAAACUUGGCCUUCUCCGUAGUCAUGGUAUAGUAUAAACUACCUGCUCCCACUGGAACUGAUGGCUCAAGGCUGCAGGCCUGCAGCAUCGCUCUUGUCAGGUGGGGCUUUCCAGGACGCAGAGCUCGUCUUCCAGGGCCAGUCCUAACAAGAGGCCUUUCUUGGGAAUGUGCAGGGUUUGAACAACCCAGGUCGGCCACGUUAACCUUUUCCUGCAGAGACCUUCAGAUCAUUCCCCCCCGAGCCCAGUUUUUCUAGUUUGAGGUCUCGUGGUACACAGACACACCACUUCUCACAGGGGCAUAUGUUGUUAUUUAACCGCCAUCUCUCUCACUAGACUCUCUCUCCAGUGAUGGGGGGGCCUCCUCUGGUUUUGGUCACUGUAUAUCUCCCACACCUGGCAGGGGGACUAAACUUGCCAUAUAAUAAGGGCUGAGUAUAUAUUUCUUUGAACAAAUGGAUAAAGAAAUGAACACUAGCGCUUGAUUUUGGCUCUAUGAAGGAAACAAACAAGGUGCAAUGCUGGAGAAUUACAUGGUGGGGUUCAUGGUCGGAUGAUUUUAGAGAUCAGCGGAGAAGACCUUCAGAGGAGAGCUGAAAGAUGAGGAGUUCUGGGUGCUGGGAAGGGCUGGGGCUAUUCUAGGAAAAGAACGAAGAGAAAAGUGAGCUUUGGAGUAUUGGGAGUGAGAGGACAGUGGCUUCAGGUGGCAGCUGGAGAAGGUUUGGAGGUCAAGAGGAGUUGGACUGUUUGUCUUUGUGCAGUGGGAAGCUACUGAGGAUUUCCCUGAAGGGUGUUCCACUAACCCAUUUAUGGUUUUAGGUGACUUCUUUUUCUGUCAUGCAAAGAGUAGAUUGGAAGUGUCAGGAGUGGGAGAGGGCAUGGGCCAGUCAGGAGGCUGUUAUGACAGGCUAGCUGGGGAUGGCCAGUCUGUCAGGAGAUGGUGAUGGGGUGGACCAAGGGAAUGGGGAGCAAUGACCUAUGUUUUGGGUUUAGAACUCACCUCUUGAUGGAGGAUGGAUUUGAGGUUGAGAAAAAGAGAAGAGUUCUACAGCUGAGUGUUCAUCUCCUUGGAAUAAAUGUGGCAGAUGCUGAAGUCAAGCAAGGCCCGUUUAACAUGUAGAUCCUUUUCUAAUAUUAAACUGAAAUUGGCAGGCAGUUCAAAAUGAAUUCUUAAAGCAGACAGAGGCUUCGUGUUAUGCUUUUUGGUUCUGAAUGGCUUCCAGCUCAGGGCUUUUGCAGUCAGUCUUAGACACCUCAAAAAGCAGACCCUCGGACAAGGAUUCAAGGAGAAUGGUUUAUUUGGGAGGUGAUUCCCAGGAGCCAUCAUAGGGGAACAGGAAUAGGAAAUGGGAAAGGAAGCAACCAUCAUGGGGCAGAUUAGUGCUUCAGGCGUUUGGAUCUUAGUCCUAUUUGGGACUCAAGGCUCAGAGAAUUCCUGAGCUCUGGUGGCCAGGGGAACCCUCAAGGCAAAGAGGUGCAGAGGUUGGCAGUUGGAGCAUAAUGCAGAAUAAUGGCCAGGCCCAUAUGGUGGGGUCUGGACAGCUUAUGCCACACAGUGAAAAUAACAUCAACAGUUACUGGCGUUCCUGUUGUGGCGCAGCAGAAACAAAUCUGACUAGUAUCCAUGGGAUGCUGGUUCUAUCCCUGCCCUCACUCAGUGGAUUGGGGAUCCGGCAUCUCUGUGAGCUGUGUGGUGUAGGUCGAAGAUGCAGCUCGGAUCCUGUGUUGCUGUGGUUGUGGUGUAGGCUGGCAGCUACAGCUCUGAUUAGACUCCUAGCCUGGGAACUUCCAUGUGCUGCAGGUGUGGUCCUGCAAAGCAAAAAAA